UGCCAGGGAGACCGAGCUCUCACCGCCGUGCUCUGGGGUGGUUAAAAAGAGAAUGAGGUAUAUUUAUCAUGUGCACAGGAGAUCCACCAAGCUGCCUACAAGAUGUCCAUUAUUGAUGGCCCCCAAAGCAUUUCUUCCCUAUCUCAUGAUUAUAACGGGGUUGAAGAAUCCUCACUCACCAGGAAGCAGCUAACCAGGCUCUGUCAUGAGGACUGCAGGGACAGAAAAGAUUCAGAGAAUAUCCCAAAUUGGAAGGGACCCAUCGAGUCCAACGUGGAAAGAGUUUGCUCCGGGUAGCAUUGCCCAGCAUGGAACAGCCAUCCCACAUCAGCGGAGUAACAAAGGCUGCUGUUUGUCAUCCCUCCAGCAGCACAUGGCCACUUACUCCCGUUUGGAUGCCAAUAGCAAUGCUGUCCCUCCAAAUAUAACGGCUCAUUGAGUCCGGGGGACAGGAGGGUCUCACGUCCCCUUCCAUGCCCCAAAAACCAGCAGUGAUGUGGGCCGGGGCUGAGCUGCCCUUGGCUGCCUUUGCCCCAGGUGCAGAAAACAUGAACAUUGAGAGAACAGACAGACAUCCAUCAUCUGCACCUCCCUGAGAAUGGAGGAAGAGGUACAGUCCGCCUCUCCAUGCCCUUCAGCUCCAGGCAUUAAUAAUUCACAUCAGUGCAGCCAGGUGUUGCCUGGGAAUGAGAAGCCAGAGCGUCACCCGCCACACAUGCAGAGAGCACAGCCACGGCCCCACCAGCACCCUCCUCUUGUUUUCCUCUGCUGUAUAUCAGCAAAGAGUGAUUUGCAAGCAGCAGAGAGCCUCAUCAAUCAGGUGUGCUCGAAGAACCAAACCGUGCUUCUAUUUUAACAGUUUCUGUCCCCUGCACGCUCACACUGGGCACGGGGUGGGAGUCCCAACACCAUGGGAGCAGCGGCCACCUUGGGUCAGGUUGAGGCUGGUGCCACUGAGUGUUGCACAGAGCAGGGUUUUGCUACCAGCACCGCUCCAGCAGUGGCUGUGCCUCCAGGCACAGAAGCUCAGCACAGUCAUCAGUCCCAGGGCUUAAUUUGCUCGGAAAAGGCAAUAGGAGUCCUGAGCACACAGCUUAGAGGAAUGGCUCAAAGAGCUGGGCUCGUUUGUCUUUAUGCCAUGCUGAAAACACGUAUCUAUAAAUGCACGCUGGGCUUUUUUCUCCAAGGUUGCAAAUGUUGCUCCCAGCACGGGGAUAUAACACCUUGGAUGGCUCUGCCCAGCCCUGGAGCGCUGCAGGAAAGAGAAUGCCAUGCAAUCAUCAUGGAAAUGGAAGGUCCAUCCACGUGGCAGAGCUGGCAGAGCAGUGGGACUGGGCCACGGGCUGCUCGCAUGAGGUCGCUGUGCUUAAAUGGAAAACACUUUGUAGGGUCCACAGAUUUAGACUGCUGGAAGAAACUGCUCUAGGUAAGGAUCCAGACUCUGAACUGAUCAGAAAUAGCCUCGCUUUAAAACAACAUCCCUUCCAGCCAGAGGACUUGAAGCCCCAGCUCACCCGCCAGCAGGAGCAGCGUGGUGCCUCUGAUGCCAGAGGGGACGCGGUUAUCACGGUGGGCACCGCUCAGCAUUCACAUCAUCAAUCAGCAUCUUCGCUGUGUGUGCCACGUUCUUAUUUGUUCUUUAAAGGAAUCCAAAGCAGCGUGGUUGAGCUGGCUUAAAAAUGCACUGAGGUUAAAACAAAAGGAAGAAAGCUGGUGCUUUGUGGAUUCACAGAACUAUAAGACAUCCACAUGUGAUGUCCUUUUUUCCAAAACAGUGCCCCUAUUGAUGGCCUGAAGUUUGAAACCAGCAACUGAUAUAACAUGCAGCACAGAUGUGACAAACAGGAGAAAACUGGCUAUCUAUCACAGCACUUCCUGAAGCCUUGCAAUAAAACAAAAUGCCAGAUGGAAUUAGAAACCACCGCCGGCGCUCAGAGCCCACUCUGGAGCUGCUGCUUGGAUGCCAACCCCGGGGGUCGUGCUGACCUCCAGCCAUGGGCCACCCCCUGCCGUGGGUCUGGUGGCAAUGCCAUCUGAAGGGCAGCAUUCACCUCCGUGGGGCAGGAGUUCCAAGAAAGCCCAGCAAUGGAGUAAGCAUGCUUUGAAGACCCACAGGCUGAGGGCCGCCCCAACCACCUGCUGGGGAUGGGACAUUCCUCCCUGCUGCACUCACAUCUGCAUCCCACCACAUGCCCCGGGAUGAGCACCUGGCCCAGCAGAGAGCUGCUCACCUCCACGUGCAAACCCUCAUCUGUUGCUGGGAGGAAACUCAUGUUUGAGGAGGGGCUGCUGCAGCUUUUCAGAAGUCUGAGCACUGCGGGCUGUUUUUCUCUUCCUCCUUUUCUGUUAUUCAUCUGAAAGAGUUCACUUUGCUAAAAUGUGAAUCCAUCAGGACCAUAUGCUCCCAGCUAUGUUGCAGGCACCCAGGACUAAUUCAGAUCUUGUGCCUGUCUUCGGGCCAUCUGCUAACAGGAUCGCACGAGACAAUGUGUCAUUACGGGCUGAAAUUUGCAUAGAUGCUUUGAGGAGCUGUGCCCAGCCCCAGCCAUGUGAGCCACAAUGAACACCCUUGAGUUGCCAUGAACCCCCCUGUGCUGUAGGGUGGUGGCACGAGGACCCAGUGAUGCCCAAAGCCAAAGCCAUCCCCACCCGUCCUCUGUCCCAUCCUCCUCAUCUGCUCUGAUCCAUGGCUGGAUGCGCAGGACAAGGCCAGCACAUGGGCUCUGCAGGCAGUUAGCACAUGAAUCCUCCCAGCUGUGACAACAGAGCCUUAACUAAGCCCAUCAAUAAGAGAUGGCACUGCAGCGGCUGAGGUGGGUGGCAGCCCUGGGGCCUCUCUAUCAGCGGGCGAGGAGGAGAUGGCAGCAGGAGAUAGCGGAUGGUGAGGUGGCAUGUGGGGCUGGGAAGCCCAGCAGCACCCCUCCUGCAGUGCAUUUCCAGUGCUUGCACCUCAGCUCCAACACUGCAACCGGCCCCAUCCCCAGGGCACCUCCAACAGCGUCCCAAAGCCGGGCAGCGUUUGGGGCCAGAUCCUUCCCCAGCCCUUCCCAGCAGCGCCAGCAGCAGCCGCCUCCUGCAGCCACAAUAGUCCCUGAUGAUAAUUACAGGCUGUGCAGCAGCUCUGUUGUUCCAUGGGACUGGGGUUUUUUUGGUAGCAAUAGGUGCUGUUUAAGUACUUGAAAGAAUGGCACUUAGCAGAUGUCUUGGGGUAAAUGGUAGGUUAAGCCAUACCAAGAACACCAGCGAAAUGAGCGCUAAUUUACACUCACAUGAUUCAAUUUGCAUGGUUAAUUCUAUUUAAAGCAAACAUCCAGCACGCGCCGGAGUUCCGAAAGCGCCACGACUCUCAUUUCAUCUCCUUUGCAACGCUUUGGAGAGCAAAACGAUGGGGAUAACAAAACAUUUCUGUGCCGUGGGAGCAAAGUUUUGUAAACACAUUUCCUCUGGAUGGCGCCGGGUCCACCUGAUAGCAUCACUGCGUGCACCAAAGCCGCCCGCUGCCGAGAUUAAAGGGAUGUCCUUCAGCUAUGGCAAUUGCAUCGUGGCUUUGUGCACGCUGAGGGAGCUGGCAGACAGCUCUGACCGAGCAGAACACAUUUUGCUUUGGAACGUGCAGAUACUGGAAAAUGGAAGACGGAGAUAGUUUUUUUUGCUUUGGAGCAAUCAGUAUUGCUUAUUGGUUUGAUUAAUAAGCAUUUGUUACCUUUCUUCAGGUUCUGUAGGAAACAGAAGGCCUGUAAAUGGCCUGGAUGAGCAAAAAGCACACAAUACCUCAGACAUAAUACGCCAAAUGUAAAUAAUAUUUAUGGCUCAUUAAAGCAUUGAUGCUCUGUGUGCAUUGGAGCGCACGCAGCGGGGAGCCGGAGGAGCGAGAAGUUGGCUCAUUAUUUCUUUUCAACCUGAAAAAUGUGAAAAUAAAGUACAGAAAAACAUUUCCGAGCCACGUCCUAAAGAAGAGCAUUCCUACUGGGAUCCCUGGCUUUCCCUUCCCUUCACAGGGAAUGGAUAAAGCACCGCAUCACCCACGGGCUGAGCCCCGCCGUGACCUGGGAACUGCUGGUGCUCAGCAGCAAUGAUCAGAGGAAAUAUUUCACCAACAACGAACGGGGCUGAGAUUUCUCCAACAGAGAACAAAUUUGUAAGACUGCAAGCUGGUGUCUGGACUAUUUGUGAGCAGUAAAAGGAACUAAAUUUGACAAAUGAAGUGCCUGCUGCAAAGCAGCUCACACGGCUUGAGUAACUACCCGGUAAUGCCAAGGCUCGUGCAAAUUGCUAGGUAACUACGCUGAGGAGAGCCAAAAAUAAUCCUUCCUGUGACUUGCUCUGACAGCGUUUGGAAGACUGAAAUAACAGGGUUUCAAUACGGAGCGGCGUGGCGCCGGCUCUCUGGAGCGAUGCGCAGCCGGUGACGUGGGGUGGGGAUGGGCUCCAAUGCUUCCCACAUGGAGCAACCCCAACAUGCCAUUGGAAGCACUGGGUGUAAACGCUCAGCUGUCUUCCAGGUGCUCCCCCAGAAACGUUGCGGUGUUAUCACGGGAGCUGAAGAAAUAUCCUGAUCAAAUCAGAAGGGCCCCACAAAUUGCAAAGUUAGAAUUUCCUGGGAUGAAAAAUGAAGCCAUUUUGUACCCUGUCAGCAGAAUGUAAAUGAAUGAGUGGAAUGAAUUAGUGCACGAUAAACUUUUAAAAAGCCAAGUUGCCAUUUAAAACAGUAGUGAGAGCUCUGGAAUGAUUUAAGAUUAAAAAAAAUAAUAGCACUACUCUAACGCCAUUCAAUUAUGACCUGCACAGCAA